UACAGAGGUCUCAAGCGUUGUUCGGAUUCAUUGGGCGUAAAGGGUGCGUAGGCGGCGUGGUAAGUCGGGUAUGAAAUCUCGGAGCUUAACUCCGAAACUGCAUUCGAUACUGCCGUGCUUGAGGACUGGAGAGGAGACUGGAAUUUACGGUGUAGCGGUGAAAUGCGUAGAUAUCGUAAGGAAGACCAGUGGCGAAGGCGGGUCUCUGGACAGUUCCUGACGCUGAGGCACGAAGGCCAGGGGAGCAAACGGG
rnacentral:rRNA from 1 species